rnacentral:rRNA from 1 species
UGCCAGCAGCCGCGGUAAUACGGGGGGGACGAGUGUUAUUCUAAAUAACUGGGCGUAAAGGGUUUGUAGGUUGGUAAUUAAGUUGAAAAGGAAAUAUCAGGGCCUAACCUUGAAAGUUGUUUCAAUACUGAUUAUCUUGAGUUUGGGAGAGGAUAGUAGAAUUUCUAAUGUAGGAAUAAAAUCCAAAGAUAUUAGAAGGAAUACCAGGAGCGAAAGCGACUAUCUGGAACAAUACUGACACUAAAAAACGAAAGCAUGGGGAGCAAACAGGAUUAGAUA